ACCUACAAAAGCCAGUGAUGAAGAAUUUAGAGGUGACAAAUGGCCUUAGAGGACUCAAUCUGACGACCAUCAUACAUGUUCCAGUAAAACUCAAAGGCAAAGACAUCUGGACAAAUGUGGACAGCCUAAAUAUCCAGGGAUGCACUAGAGGGGGGGAGAAGAGCCCAAUCAUCACAGACCUGCAGCACACUUUCAAGGACAACAAGGAGC